GUGCAGCAGGCGCGAAAACUUUACAAUGUGCGAAAGCACGAUAAGGGAACUCUGAGUGCCUCCUAAGGAGGCUGUUCUGAUGUCUAAAAAGCAACAGAAGUAAGGGCUGGGUAAGACCGGUGCCAGCCGCCGCGGUAACACCGGCAGCCCAAGUGGUAGCCACGUUUAUUGGGUCUAAAGCGUUCGUAGCCGGCCAGGUAAGUUCCUUGGUAAAUUUAGCCGCUUAACGGUUAAGCUUUCAGGGAAUACUGCUUGGCUUGGGACUGGGAGAGGUCAGAGGUACUCCGGGGGUAGGGGUGAAAUCUAUUAAUCCCUGGGGGACCACCGGUAGCGAAGGCGUCUGACCAGACCAGGUCCGACGGUGAGGGACGAAGGCUAGGGGCGCGAACCGGAUUAGAUACCCCGGUAGU
rnacentral:rRNA from 1 species